UCUGGUUUUCUUGGCUUUCAGCCGUAUAAAUGGCCUUUCUGUUCUGAAUAGGAAACUGGCUACCUGUCUGAAAAGAAGACCAACAUCAUGACGAAACAAAAAUAGGAGAGUUCAUUUCUCAAAAGAUUUAUUGGGACCCCCAAUGAGUCCUCAGUUCAUCUAUUUAUAUAUUUCAGAGGUGGUGACAUGUCCCAAUGCUUCUUUCAAUGACCUGACUAGUGUCCAGAAUUAGAGCCAGUGAAGUAGGCUGUUGUGGAAGACAGGGCAGCAGCUGGAGAAUUACUUGGAGAAAAUGGAUAUCAAGAUCACAAAGACUUGUGCUUACAUCAGAAUGUGAGACCAUCUGCACUUCAAUAAAACAAACACCUUGGCGGCUCCCUGAGGGUCCACUUUCCUAACAUCUUCAUCUCAGCACUGAGGAAUGUUUUGAUCACAUUUAGAGCUGCAGGACAUUGAUGAACAUCACCAAGGAUUCUGGAUGAGUAAUUACCAGCACCUGCUGUGUGACCCAUCUCACCAGACUGGUUGGAGGAAAAGGCAGCACAGGGACAGAGGAGGAGGUGACGAGUAAUUAAAGUGGCCCAUGGAGGGAUCACAGCAGACAGGCUUGGGUAAAUGACAGCUGGGUCUGACGCGUUUACCCACCACUGGGCCCCCUUCUGACGUACAGGUGGCACAGAGGGCGGAUAAAAGUGAAAAUGAGCAGCUAAAUUGAGUUUUCCUUAUAUGGACCUUUCCCUAUCCCCUCCCCCUUUUCCUCCAAGGAACUGGAGCUUGUCCUCCAACUGAGCUGUGAAACCAAGCCAAACAGUCCUGACCUGAACUGGUUGUGUCUGGGUUACAUAAAUCAUCAUAUCAGAGUGUAGCUAGAGCAAUGAUAUGUUGCUACAUUACAUUUACAGGAAGUAAUUAAAGGCAGGAUUUUAUAGUUCCUUUUACUAAGAAGCUUUGAUUAAUCCUUAUAGGACAUCAUAAAACAGAUAAAAUAUAUAAAAUGUUGAUUUGGUGCUCAAGAAACAUUUCUUAUUAUUUUGUCAAUUGUCAAAUUUUAGGAGACACUUACGCAGCAGCUAUUUUUGAUUUUGGCAUGAAAUGUGGUUUUGUAUGAAGAAUGAAUAUGGAGUUGUGUACAUAAAUCAACCAAGGUUAUUGUGGGUGAGGCCUCGAAGGAAGCAGAGAGUGACUCAUAGUGUAUCAUGGAUCAAUAAUUUAA